UACGUAGGGGGCAAGCGUUGUCCGGAAUCAUUGGGCGUAAAGAGCGUGUAGGCGGCUCGGUAAGUCGGGUGUGAAAGCCCUGGGCUCAACCCAGGAAGUGCACUCGAAACUGUCAGGCUUGAAUAUGGAAGAGGGUCGCGGAAUUCCCGGUGUAGAGGUGAAAUUCGUAGAUAUCGGGAGGAACACCAGUGGCGAAGGCGGCGACCUGGGCCAAUAUUGACGCUGAGGUGCGAAAGCGUGGGGAGCAAACAGG
rnacentral:rRNA from 1 species